rnacentral:rRNA from 1 species
ACGGGUGGCCGCACAAGCGGUGGAACAUGUGGUUCAAUUCGACGCUACGCGUAGAACCUCACCAGGGCUUGACAUGUAGGAAGUAGUGAACUGAAAGGGGAACGACCUGUUAAGUCAGGAGCCUACACAGGUGCUGCAUGGCUGUCGUCAGCUCGUGCCGUGAGGUGUUGGGUUAAGUCCCGCAACGAGCGCAACCAUCAUCUCUAGUUGCCACUCUUGAAGCCGCAAGGUUGAUUGAAGCACUCUAGAGAGACUGCCUCGGAUAACGAGGAGGAAGGUGGAGAUGACGUCAAGUCCGUAUGGCCUUUAUGCCCUGGGCUACACACGUGUUACAAUGGAGUGAACAAUGCGUUGCCAAGUCGCAAGACGGAGCUAAUCGCAUAAAACAUUCCUCAGUUCAGAUUGGAGUCUGCAAUUCGACUCCAUGAAGUUGGAAUCGCUAGUAAUGGCGGAUCAGCACGCCGCCGUGAAUACGU